UAGCAUCAAUUAUGUGGAACCAUUCCUGCUGUACAAACCGCUGAAGGUGCUAUUCACUGUCCACCAUUUUGCAAAGGGUGACGUAGCAAAAUCAGAAGAAUCAGACAAUUUGAAUCUCGUUCUGGUCUACAGCAAGCAAUCAGUCCACUUCCUCCUUUAUCCAGAAACUUUUAAAUAUCCGAAGGCUAGAAGUAAUUAUUCAACAUAAUUUCAUCAGUCAAGUUGAACUUCUUCCUUCAGUAUGGCCUGGGGUAUGCAUAAGUUCAAGAUCAGUUCCAAUGUUCCACAGGAUAUUUCCAGUAAGUUUUACCCUCAGCUUCAGCAGUAAUAUCCUCUACCUGUAUCGUCAUGGUUAUUGCAGUAGAUAAUCAGGGCAAAUAUCAGAGAGAAAAUUGUAACAUUAGAAUCUAGGAGUUGUAAUACGAAUUAUUGAACUGCAAUAUGUCUGAAAUUGAGACUGGGGCGUUACAGUUCCAUUA